rnacentral:rRNA from 1 species
UACAGAGGUCCCAAGCGUUGUCCGGAAUUAUUGGGCGUAAAGAGCUCGUAGGCGGUCUGUUACGUCUGCUGUGAAAACCCGGGGCUUAACCCUGGGCUUGCAGUGGAUACGGGCAGACUAGAGGCAGGUAGGGGAGAAUGGAAUUCCCGGUGUAGCGGUGAAAUGCGCAGAUAUCGGGAGGAACACCGGUGGCGAAGGCGGUUCUCUGGGCCUGACCUGACGCUGAGGAGCGAAAGCGUGGGGAGCGAACAGG